CCUACGGGGGGCAGCAGUAGGGAAUUUUGCGCAAUGGGGGAAACCCUGACGCAGCAACGCCGCGUGAUCGAUGAAGCCCUUCGGGGUGUAAAGAUCUGUCAGUGGGGACGAAACCUGACGGUACCUGAGUAAGAAGCACCGGCUAAAUACGUGCCAGCAGCCGCGGUAAUACGUAUGGUGCAAGCGUUAUCCGGAUUUACUGGGUGUAAAGGGAGCGCAGGCGGCACGGCAAGCCUGAUGUGAAAGCCCGCGGCCCAACCGCGGGACUGCAUUGGGAACUACCGGGCUGGAGUGCCGGAGAGGUAGGCGGAAUUCCUAGUGUAGCGGUGAAAUGCGUAGAUAUUAGGAGGAACACCAGUGGCGAAGGCGGCCUACUGGACGGUGACUGACGCUGAGGCUCGAAAGCGUGGGGAGCAAACAGGAUUAGAUACCCGAGUAGUC
rnacentral:rRNA from 1 species